GAGGAUAGAUAGGAUAGAGGAUAGAUAUAGAGAAGAUAGAUUGGAUAGAGAUAGAUAGGAUAGAUAGAGGAUAGAUAUAGAGAAGAUAGAUAUAGAGAAGAUAGGAGAGAUUGAGAGGAUAGAGAUAGAGAGGAUAGAUAGAGAGGAUAGAGAUAGAGAGGAUAGAUAUAGAGAGGAUAGAGAGGAUAGAUAUAGAGAUGAUAGAGAGGAUAGAUAUAGAGAGGAUAGAUAUAGAGAGGAUAGAGAGGAUAGAUAUAGAGAGGAUAGAUAUAGAGAGGAUAGAGAGGAUAGAUACAGAGAGGAUAGAUAUAGAGAGGAUAGAUAUAGAGAGGAUAGAGAGGAUAGAUAUUGAGAGGAUAGAUAUAGAGAGGAUAGAUAUAGAGAGGAUAGAUAGGAUAGAGAUUGACAGGAUAGAGAUAGAGAGGAUAGAUAUAGAGAGGAUAGAUAUGAUAGAGAUAGAGAGGAUAGAGAUAGAGAGGAUAGAUAUAGAGAGGAUAGGGAUAGAGAGGAUAGAGAUAGAGUGGAUAGAGAUUGAGAGGAUAGAGAUAGAUAGGAAAGAGAUAGAGGAUAGAUAGAUAGGAAAGAGAUAGAUAGGAUAGAUAUAGAGAGGAUAGAGAUAGAGAGGAUAGAUAUAGAGAGGAUAGAUAUAGAGAGGAUAGAGAUAGAGAGGAUAGACAUAGAGAGGAUAGAUAGGAUAGAGAUUGAGAGGAUAGAUAUAGAGAGGCUAGAGAUAGAGAGGAUAGAGAUAGAGAGGAUAGAUAGGAGUGUGAGUUGAAGUAACAGUGGGACAGAUUCCAACCCAUGCCAGCUCUGGUAUAUGUGUGCUGGGCCUGCAGCGCUAACCGGGCUUCCUUCUGUUCAUGCUUUGUCGGCUACGCACCUUUUAAAAGGCAAUGUUCCCGUGUUUGGGGAGACAGCAUUCAUGGAAAACUCGGAAAUAACCUCGAAACAGUGCAUACCAGACAACGCGUGAUGGGAUUGAACCCUGGCCUUAAUCCUGGGGACCCAAAGGGGCUGGUUUUGCAUUAACACACCUAAUUCAUCUCAUCAACUCAUCAACAAACCUUUUAUUAGCGGAAUCAGGUAUGUCGUGCCGGGGAAAAAACAAAUAAAGCACCUCUUUGGGUCCCGAGGACCAGGAUUAAGGGCAUCUGUUUGCAUUUGCAAAUCUCAAAGUAACUCCAUCUACGGACUUCUAUGUUAAUCUCAAAGUAACUCCCUCUACGUAGUUCUAUGUUAAUCUCAAAGUAAUCCCUCUAUGUAGUUCUAUGUUCAUCUCAAGGUAACUCCCUCUAUGUAGUUCUAUGUUAAUCUCAAGGUAACUCCCUCUAUGUAUUUGUAGGUUAAUCUCAAGGUAAUCCCUCUAUGUAUUUGUAGGUUAAUCUCAAGGUAAUCCCUCUAUGUAUUUGUAGGUUCAUCUCAAGGUAAUCCCUCUAUGUAUUUGUAGGUUCAUCUCAAGGUAAUCCCUCUAUGUAUUUGUAGGUUCAUCUCAAGGUAAUCCCUCUAUGUAUUUGUAGGUCAACCACAAGGUAAUCCCUCUAUGUAGUUCUAUGUUAAUCUCAAGGUAACUCCCUCUAUGAAAGUAGUCCAGCCAAUUGAAAAACAGAAAACAACACACAUUAGUAUGGUCAGAAAAUAUAGAUUAUAUUGUUUUUUCCUCUGCAAUUAAACAACAACAACAACAAAUAAAACAGCAGUUUUUCUCACCCAGUAGGAAGGUAGACUGGCACCCUAUUCCCUUCACAGUGCACUACUUUUGACCAGGACCCAUAGGACUUUGUUUAAACGUAGUGCACUAUGAAAAUAGGCUGCCAUUUGGGACUAACCGGUAUUCGCAGACAAACACACACACACACACACACACACACACACACACACACACACACACACACACACACACACCAUACAUACAAGGUGAUACGGACAAUAAAACAUUUCAUGAGAUUACAAACAAUUUACCAACUAUAAAAGGGAUCACAUUUAGGAUAGUAUUAUUACCCCCCAAAAAACGUAAUCUAGUUCUAGUCAUCUCUCCCCAAUAAGUGAUAAUAAUUUAUAUAACAGAGUUGGUGCUAUACACACAGUCUCUUUAAGAACAGGGUCAGUCCUUUCUCCGGUUACUUUCCCAUAAUUCCCCUUGGUUUUCCAGAAAUUCACAGAUUUCCUGCUUAAUCCCUCGUAAUUCCAGGAAUCUUCUAACCAGGAAUUAUGGGCAAAUUACAGGAAUUUUUGCAACUAUGUUUUAACAGAGACAUAUACCCAAUUGAUACUUACAGGAAUCAACAGCGAACAAGGACUAGCCUGGACACCAGUCUGCUUCUGCUCUCCUUCCUUAUGGAAAUG
rnacentral:lncRNA from 1 species